rnacentral:rRNA from 1 species
GACGAACGCUGGCGGCGUGCUUAACACAUGCAAGUCGAACGGAAAGGCCCUGCUUUUGUGGGGUGCUCGAGUGGCGAACGGGUGAGUAACACGUGAGUAACCUGCCCUUGACUUUGGGAUAACUUCAGGAAACUGGGGCUAAUACCGGAUAGGAGCUCCUGCUGCAUGGUGGGGGUUGGAAAGUUUCGGCGGUUGGGGAUGGACUCGCGGCUUAUCAGCUUGUUGGUGGGGUAGUGGCUUACCAAGGCUUUGACGGGUAGCCGGCCUGAGAGGGUGACCGGCCACAUUGGGACUGAGAUACGGCCCAGACUCCUACGGGAGGCAGCAGUGGGGAAUAUUGCACAAUGGGCGGAAGCCUGAUGCAGCAACGCCGCGUGCGGGAUGACGGCCUUCGGGUUGUAAACCGCUUUCGCCUGUGACGAAGCGUGAGUGACGGUAAUGGGUAAAGAAGCACCGGCUAACUACGUGCCAGCAGCCGCGGUGAUACGUAGGGUGCGAGCGUUGUCCGGAUUUAUUGGGCGUAAAGGGCUCGUAGGUGGUUGAUCGCGUCGGAAGUGUAAUCUUGGGGCUUAACCCUGAGCGUGCUUUCGAUGCGGGUUGACUUGGGGAAGGUAGGGGAGAAUGGAAUUCCUGGUGGAGCGGUGGAAUGCGCAGAUAUCAGGAGGAACACCAGUGGCGAAGGCGGUUCUCUGGGCCUUUCCUGACGCUGAGGAGCGAAAGCGUGGGGAGCGAACAGGCUUAGAUACCCUGGUAGUCCACGCUGUAAACGGUGGGUACUAGGUGUGGGGUCCAUUCCACGGGUUCCGUGCCGUAGCUAACGCUUUAAGUACCCCGCCUGGGGAGUACGGCCGCAAGGCUAAAACUCAAAGGAAUUGACGGGGCCCCGCACAGGCGGCGGAGCAUGCGGAUUAAUUCGAUGCAACGCGUAGAACCUUACCUGGGUUUGACAUGGAUCGGGAGUGCUCAGAGAUGGGUGUGCCUCUUUUGGGGUCGGUUCACAGGUGGUGCAUGGCUGUCGUCAGCUCGUGUCGUGAGAUGUUGGGUUAAGUCCCGCAACGAGCGCAACCCUUGUUCACUGUUGCCAGCACGUUAUGGUGGGGACUCAGUGGAGACCGCCGGGGUCAACUCGGAGGAAGGUGGGGAUGACGUCAAGUCAUCAUGCCCCUUAUGUCCAGGGCUUCACGCAUGCUACAAUGGCUGGUACAGAGAGUGGCGAGCCUGUGAGGGUGAGCGAAUCUCGGAAAGCCGGUCUCAGUUCGGAUUGGGGUCUGCAACUCGACCUCAUGAAGUCGGAGUCGCUAGUAAUCGCAGAUCAGCAACGCUGCGGUGAAUACGUUCCCGGGGCU